GGGGAAUUAGCUCCAUUGGUAGAGCGCUCGCUUAGCAUGUGAGAGGUACAGGGAUCGAUACCCUGAUUAUCCA
rnacentral:tRNA from 1 species